ACUUAAAUAGCUUAUUAUUAGAGUAUAACAUUGAAGCUGUUAGGGAGAUAUAUUGUCUUUAAGUA
rnacentral:tRNA from 2 species